rnacentral:tRNA from 1 species
GGGACGCUAGCUCAUCCGGUUAGAGCAACUGCCUUUUAAGCAGUAGGUGUCGGGUCCGAGUCCCGAGCGUCUCA